UUGGAAUGGGGUAGUUUGUCUCUAUGUUGUGUUUUGUUGACAUCCCACAAGUUUAGCAUUAAUUAAUAAAAAAAGGAAAGUUUUGUGUAAUUUUGCCGCUAAAAACUGUUUUGCGUUCUUCAUCUCCACUACCCAUCUCCAUUUUCAUCUCUACUCAGUGAAAUCCUGUGCAGAUCUGAGGGUUUUGAUUGCGACUUGAAAAAUGACCAUUGUUCGGAAAUGCGAUUCGGUUCAAAUCCAGCAGAGGAGUUUGCUUUGAUCGGUGCAUUGGCGAGUUCAACUUCGCUGUUAUAGACAUACCGAAAGGUGUUGAUUUUAAGAUCAAGCUGCUCACGGUCCGUGGAAAGAGGUUGAAACUAGUUCUAUAUGGACACUGCUGCACAAGAAAGGCUUAGAUUUUAGAACGCUAACAAGUUCUUACUAUAGAGGAGCACAGGGAAUCAUUCUUGUGAUUCUUAAUCUCAACCUCUUGCUAAGGAGAUUAUGGAUGGUGAUGCCGGAAGUUGGGCGGUGGAAUUCAUAAGGGGGCGAAUUCCAAACAGCACUAUACUGAGAGUAUUGGUUCGCACCCUCGCUGUUGCUCCGAAGAUGGACUCAUCGUACUUCAAGACUAUGAUCCUUGGGAUGCUUCAAGAGUGUUGUUGGAGUGUCUCAAUUGAGGAAUACAUGCUUGAAAUUAUGGAAAUCCUCGAACGAAGUCUUGAUCACGAGGGUUCUCCCAUCAGCGCUGCCUUUCGUGCCGCAUAUUGUACGGUGGCCGUGGAAUGUACUCUUAAGUACCUUGAGGUAGAUCUCUCUAGUCCUAAAUACAUUGACGCUGUUCAGAGAAUAUGGUCAGGAAGGGUUAGGCAGAUGAGACCCUCUUCUGGUGGUGAAAGCCAAUGCCCUUUGUUCUCUGAGGAGUUGGAAAGGUGGAUGACAGAGAUUGAGGCAUCCCUGAUAGACACAUGUAUCAGAGAUCGGUUGGCAGCCUUAAAGAACACUAGAGUCGUGGCCAUUCAAAAGCUCAAGAUCUUUUUGGCAGAGUCCUGGGAUAACUUUGACCCUUCCUUUCUUGAGCAGCUGGCAGGGGAGAAUGAUGUUUUUCUCUCCAAUGUUGCUAAAGGGUGGUGCUUGCCUCCACAGGGUCAGAAAGAGCAACAGAAAGAAACUGCUAAUGUUGGUGACCGUUCUCCAACAACUGCUGAUGAGUGGAAGAAGUUUGUGAAUCGCUCCUGCAGUGGGACAUCAUAUGGUACUCUGCUGCCUAGCCCUAAGAUGAAGAAGGUUUCUCCUUUAAAGGAGUAUGAUGAUUCCACAAAUGUUAUAAAAAAGAGAAGAAUAACAAAAAGAUGGAGUCAACUAGAAAAAGAGACUCUACUAGCUGGGGUAAACAAGUAUGUGGCUGUUCUAACUAGUUCAACAGUAGUUUUGAUUGAUUUGGUGAAGGUAACUGGACAUUCAUUUUAAGUACUCACAAGGAUGUGUUUAAAGGGAGAACUUCCGUCGAUUUAAAGGAUAAAUGGCGAAACAUGAAUCUGCAUACAGGCAUUUGAACGAGACUUUGCCAUGACCCGCCCUAAGAAGAAGAAGGGGUCUUGGUAUCGAGCCAGAUUGAGAAGGUAGAUCUAAUCCAUUGUGGCUGGGGCAGAUUAAGUGAAGUUUGAAUUUGAGGACCUGUUAUUUGUAUUACGUUUUAGUUUACUUACUAUAAGCUGCAACAAGCACCUCAUAAAUAAUGAAUAGCAUAUAAACCAAUUUCAAGUUUUCCAACGGAUCAAUUCUAUUGUUCCAAGGAAAUAAAGCAACAUAGUUAUACGUAAUCAUUCCAACGGUUAUAAUCC